CAAAGGCUUGGUCCUGACUUUACUAUCAAUUUUAGCCUAAAUUACACAUGCAAGUCUCCUCAUACCUGUGAAGAUGCCCUUAACCUGUUCGACACCCGAAAGUAAGGAGCAGACAUCAGGCACACCCCUCCGUACCCACGACGUCUUGCUUAGCCACACCCCCAAGGGAACUCAGCAGUGAUAAAUAUUAAGCAAUUAGUGAAAACUUGACUUAGUCAGGGCUAAGCAGGGCCGGUAAAACUCGUGCCAGCCACCGCGGUUAUACGAGAGGCCCAAAUUGAUACCUCACGGCGUAAAGCGUGGUUAAGAAACUACUCUCCCAUAGGGCCGAACAGUCACAAGGCAGUUAUACGCACCCGAGACUAUGAAGCACUCCCCUACGAAAGUGACCCUACCUAACUUCUGAACCCACGAAAGCUAUAGAACAAACUGGGAUUAGAUACCCCACUAUGUAUAGUUGUUAACUUUGAUGUCGAAAUACAAUCGCCAUCCGCCCGGGAACUACGAGCGCCAGCUUAAAACCCAAAGGACUUGGCGGUGCUUUAGACCCCCCUAGAGGAGCCUGUUCUAUAACCGAUAACCCCCGUUCAACCUCACCAUCCCUUGUUAAUCCCGCCUAUAUACCGCCGUCGUCAGCUUACCCUAUGAAGGCAUAAUAGUAAGCACAAUUGGCAUAGCCAAAAACGUCAGGUCGAGGUGUAGCGAAUGAGAUGGAAAGAAAUGGGCUACAUUCUCUACUACAGAGAACUACAGAUGACAUACUGAAAUUACAUGUCUGAAGGAGGAUUUAGCAGUAAGUAAGGAAUAGAAUGCCCUGCUGAAACUGGCCCUAAAGCACGCACACACCGCCCGUCACUCUCCCCAAAGAUAAACCCAUUCUUUAUAUAAAAUAACCCAUAUAACAAGGGGAGACAAGUCGUAACAUGGUAAGCGUACCGGAAGGUGUGCUUGGAAUAAU
rnacentral:ncRNA from 1 species